ACGAGCGCAACCCUUAAGCUUAGUUGCCAUCAUUAAGUUGGGCACUCUAAGUUGACUGCCGGUGACAAACCGGAGGAAGGUGGGGAUGACGUCAAAUCAUCAUGCCCCUUAUGAUUUGGGCUACACACGUGCUACAAUGGACAAUACAAAGGGCAGCGAAACCGCGAGGUCAAGCAAAUCCCAUAAAGUUGUUCUCAGUUCGGAUUGUAGUCUGCAACUCGACUACAUGAAGCUGGAAUCGCUAGUAAUCGUAGAUCAGCAUGCUACGGUGAAUACGUUCUCGGGUCUUGUACACACCGCCCGUCACACCACGAGAGUUUGUAACACCCGAAGCCGGUGGAGUAACCUUUUAGGAGCUAGCCGUCGAAGGUGGGACAAAUGAUUGGGGUGAAGUCGUAACAAGGUAGCCGUAUCGGAAGGUGCGGCUGGAUCACCUCCUUUCUA
rnacentral:rRNA from 2 species